GUAGGGAAUAUUGGGCAAUGGUCGGAAGACUGACCCAGCCAUGCCGCGUGCAGGAAGACGGCCCUCUGGGUUGUAAACUGCUUUUAUCUGGGAAGAAAAAGGCCAUGCGUGGCAAAUUGCCGGUACCAGAUGAAUAAGCACCGGCUAACUCCGUGCCAGCAGCCGCGGUAAUACGGAGGGUGCGAGCGUUGUCCGGAUUUAUUGGGUUUAAAGGGUGCGUAGGCGGCUGAUUAAGUCAGCGGUGAAAGACUUCGGCUUAACCGGAGCAGUGCCGUUGAUACUGGUUGGCUUGAGUGUCGGAGGGGUACAUGGAAUUGAUGGUGUAGCGGUGAAAUGCAUAGCUACCAUCAGGAACACCGAUAGCGAAGGCAUUGUACUGGCCGACAACGGACGCUGAUGCACGAAAGUGUGGGGAUCGAACAGGAUUAGAUACCCUUGUAGUCC
rnacentral:rRNA from 1 species